rnacentral:rRNA from 1 species
AACGAACGCUGGCGGCAGGCUUAACACAUGCAAGUCGAACGCAUCGCAAGAUGAGUGGCAGACGGGUGAGUAACGCGUGGGAACAUACCCUUUUCUACGGAAUAGCUCUGGGAAACUGGAAUUAAUACCGUACACGCCCUACGGGGGAAAGAUUUAUCGGGGAAGGAUUGGCCCGCGUUGGAUUAGCUAGUUGGUGGGGUAAAGGCCUACCAAGGCGACGAUCCAUAGCUGGUCUGAGAGGAUGAUCAGCCACAUUGGGACUGAGACACGGCCCAAACUCCUACGGGAGGCAGCAGUGGGGAAUAUUGGACAAUGGGCGCAAGCCUGAUCCAGCCAUGCCGCGUGAGUGAUGAAGGCCUUAGGGUUGUAAAGCUCUUUCACCGAUGAAGAUAAUGACGGUAGUCGGAGAAGAAGCCCCGGCUAACUUCGUGCCAGCCGCCGCGGUAAGAC